CCUACGGGAGGCAGCAGUGAGGAAUAUUGGUCAAUGGACGAGAGUCUGAACCAGCCAAGUAGCGUGAAGGAUGACUGCCCUAUGGGUUGUAAACUUCUUUUAUAAAGGAAUAAAACGAGGCACGUGUGCCUUUUUGCAUGUACUUUAUGAAUAAGGAUCGGCUAACUCCGUGCCAGCAGCCGCGGUAAUACGGAGGAUCCGAGCGUUAUCCGGAUUUAUUGGGUUUAAAGGGAGCGUAGAUGGGUUUUUAAGUCAGUUGUUAAAGUUUGCGGCUCAACCGUAAAAUUGCAAUUGAUACUGGGAGUCUGUAGUACAGGUGAGGUAAGCGGAAUUCGGGGUGUAGCGGGGAAAUGCUUAGAUAUCACGAAGAACCCCGAUUGCGAAGGCAGCUUACUAAACUGUGACUGACAUUGAUGCUCGAAAGUGUGGGUAUCAAACAGGAUUAGAUACCCUUGUAGUC
rnacentral:rRNA from 1 species